rnacentral:lncRNA from 1 species
GCUCACUGUGUGUGUUAGCUGUCCUUUAGGAGCUCACUGUGUGUGUUAGCUGUCCUUUAGGAGCUCACUGUGUGUGUUGCUGUCCUUUGGAGCUCACUGUGUGUGUUAGCUGUCUCUUUAGGGAGCCACUGUGUGUUGUGUUAGCUGUCCUUUAGGAGCUCACUGUGUGUUGUGUUAGCUUUCCUUUAGGGCGCUCACUGUGUGUUGUGUUAGCUGUCCUUUAGGAGCUCACUGUGUUGUGUGAGCUGUCCUUUAGGAGCUCACUGUGUGUGUGUUACCUGUCCUUUAGGAGCUCACUGUGUGUUAGCUGUCCUUAGGAGCUCACUGUGUGUGUAUUGUGUAGCUGUCCUUUAGGAGC